rnacentral:tRNA from 1 species
GGCGGGGACGGCACGGUGCACCGGGCGUUGCAGGCGGUCGCCGGCACGGGGGUGCCGUUCGGUCCGGUCCCCGCCG